CAGGUGGAGCCUGCGGUUUAAUCGGACUCAACGCCGGGAAACCACCAGAUAAGACAGCUGAAUGAUAGUCGGGCUGAAGACUCUACUUGACUAGCUGAGAGGAGGUGCAUGGCCGUCGUCAGUUCGUACUGUGAAGCAUCCUGUUAAGUCAGGCAACGAGCGAGACCCACGCCAACAGUUGCCAGCUCGUCCUCCGGGAUGGUGGGGACACUGUUGGGACCGCCUCUGCUAAAGAGGAGGAAGGAAUGGGCAACGGUAGGUCAGCAUGCCCCGAAUUAUCUGGGCUACACGCGGGCUACAAUGGGUGGGACAAUGGGUAUCGACACCGAAAGGUGAAGGCAAUCUCCUAAACCCAUCCGUAGUUCGGAUUGUGGGCUGCAACUCGCCCACAUGAAGCUGGAAUCUGUAGUAAUCGCGUUUCAACAUAGCGCGGUGAAUACGUCCCUGCUCCUU
rnacentral:rRNA from 1 species